UCUAUUCAUCUCCACCGCCAUCAACUCCGUCGCCACCAUCACCACCUCCAUCUCCUACCGUCACGAAAAAUCCAUCGAACCAAACUCCACCACCAUCAUCUCUAGUACCGCCUCCUACUCCAUUGGAUCUACAUGUUCCAUAAUCAGCUCCAUCACUACUUAGAAAAACUUAAAUCUGGUGAUGAAUCAACGAGAAAAUAAUCUUCAAAACCUAAUUUCGAGAAUCAGAUCAUUAUAUUCAUUUUGGGUUCAACUCGAUCCGAAUUGAAGAACGAAAUCGUCAUCAAUAAUUGGAUCUGUAGAUUCAAUCAUCAAAACGGAUAAAAAGGCAUUGUGAUCAACUGAUGCUUCAUUUAAGCCUAUAUAUGUAUCGAUUGGCCACUGAUAGCUUGAUAGUGGAAUUAAUUAUGUGAAGUACCUGCAAGUAUCGAGUUCCAGAUUCUGUACGUUAGGUAACUUUUACCUCGACUACUGCAAUAUGGAGUAUUCGUUACCUCAAUGAUAGUAAUCACUCAUAAGCCGAAAGACAAACUUGUAGCUUUAGUUUGUGUAAUGCAUGGGCAUUGGUUUUUUUCUCAAUUAUUAUAGAUUUUUAUAUUUUUCUUCCUAGAUAAAUAAAAGUAUCUUCGGUUGACGUUAA